rnacentral:rRNA from 1 species
CCUGCCGGAAAUCACCGUUAUCAGAAUUCGACCAANCCAUGCGAGGCGCGAGCUAUUUGGGCUCGCCGAACUGCUCAGUAACACGUAGCUAACAUGCCCUCAAGCGGGGGAUAAUCUUGGAAAUCUGAGGCUAAUACCCCAUAGCUGUUGGAUGCUGGAAUGCUUCAACAGUCAAAGCUCCGGCACUUGAGGAUUGGGCUGCGGCCUAUCAUGGCUGUUGCGAGUGUAAAGUACUCACAAACCUUUAACGGGUAGGGGUCAUGAGAGUGGGAGCCUCGAGAUGCCUUCUGAGACAUGAAGGCAGGUCCUACGGGACGCAGCAGGCGCGAAAACUUUCCAAUGGUUUANNNACUGAGAAGGGAAUUCUGAGUGCUUGCAUUUUAUGCAAGCUUUUAUCCUGU